UGUUGAAAUCGAAAUAUUCACUAUGUGGGAUUACCACAAACACAACAUUUAUUUAUGACUAAUAUUAAAGCAAAUGUUUUUGAUUUAAAAAGAACAAUUCGAAAUAUGUGUACUUUAGGUUACAACACACAUGCGCGAUACCAACAUAAAAAUGACAUAAUCUCAUCGGCCGUCACACACUGUGCACCUGAAUGUAUACCGCACAGCGAGUACUAUACAAAUGCACACAAUUUCCUGCUGAUAUUACGUUGGUCGGGUAACAACGCUACCGUUCUAUCCGCCGACGACGAUGAAAACUUGCAAGGAGCAAACAUCGCAUUCGUCUGCGCGUCCGUAUGGAGCACGACCGCACUUAACAGGAUUAUGAUAGCGACAUCAUGAUCGUGGAAGUCGAAAUAGACAAAACAACAAAUUACCCAACGAGAAUAACUUUAAAUUGCUUGUGCAACAACCUACUACAACUAAAAAAUUCUGCAGAAGAAAAUUCUUCGAAUGAGAUAAGAUCAAAGCCUUCGAAAUUGAGUGACGAAUUUUGGAAGAAAAAAAAAACAUGUGUGUAUAUGUUUAACAAUAGUUACUAGCAACCGGUAGUUCUAAAUAGAAAUAUUUAUACAAAGCAAGAGUUUAUAAUGCUUAUAUUAUAGGUUAUGUUAGAUUAUGUUGCUUCGUGACCGUUAUGACAGCAAACUUAUAGGUUAUAGUUACGUUCUAUUUACUGAUCUGUAUAUACCUCUGGAUUGAAUAUGUAUCAAAAUACAAACAGUUUGAUUUACUUGUUUAUGUAGGUACUGGACAAUUUAAUUUGGCAACGAAAAACCCAAGUAUGGAUUCAUAAGGGAUUUUUGCAUUUGCGGAAUUGAACAUGAUCUGGUGGACAAAAUCCACCAUGAUGUGGAUGAUCCGUAUACUAUCCUCAAUCCAAGAGAGUUUACAGAACAGUGGUUCUCAUAAGCAUAUAAAUAUUCUAUAAGCAAUAAUUACUGUAAUUUCAACAAUCCCUGCGUUCAAUAUUAUGAAUUUACCAACAGUAGACUGGAUGCGCAAUUAAUUAUUAUGAAGUGUUUGCUUGUUAUGUAUCUGUUACAUCUUCGUUUUGUGCUGCACUAAAGCAUGUAAAACAUGUAAAGCAUAUGGCAGCAUAUCGGUGAUGAUUUAUACGGUUCAAUUAAAUCGACUGCGAUUUUGUAAAAGCAGAUCGAUGUGAAUGUUAUUGAACUCGUUCUUAGUAAUUGUACUCUGUGUACCAUGUUUUAAACUGUUCGAACGAGCCACUUCUACUUUAUUACUAUUAAAAACAAUGUGACGUUAGCUUGCAGCACCAGGUAACGGAAGUAAAAAAAUUAUAUUGUAGGCAAUCCAA